UCAUUUAUUAUGGUGAUUGUGAUAACAUAAGGGAAAAAAAUGAUGUUACCUUAUUAAUAGUGUCGUCCAAAACUGGUGCCAGAAGACUCGGUAAGGCCAGAGACGCAAACGUUAGUCAUCUUAAUCAGGCGUAAAGGGUGUGUAGGCUGCUUUGAAAGUUUAAAUCUUUAUAAUAGCUCUGUUACCGUACUACUAUAUUAUUUAAUUGAAUUAUUAAAAUUAAAAUUAAAAUUAUUUAAAAUAAAAAAUAAAUAAUAAUAAAUAAUAAAGAAUAAAUAUAAAUAUAAAUAUAAAUAUAAAUAUAAAUAUAAAUAUAAAUAUAACUAUAACUAUAAAUAUAAAUUAAAAAAUGUAGUAUAUAAAAUUUAUUAAACUAAACACUAAAUGAUAUUAAAAAUAAAAUAAAAAAUAAAAUAAUAUCCGUGUAUCAGUUAAGAAAUAAAUGAAUUAAAGCUAGAAUCAAAGGGAGGAUAAGCCAAAUAAUACUUAAUGUAGGGCUAAUAUCCGCAGAUAUUAAGGGGAAUACUAAAGGCGAAAGCUUUUUAUCUAUUAUUGAUUGACGCUGAGAAACGAAGGUGAGAAUAGGAAAUAGGAUUAGAUACCCAGAUACCUCUCACUGUCAACGAUGAAUGGUGGUUAGUUAGUUUUAAAAAAAACUAGUAGCGAUGUUAACACGAUAACCAUUCCGCCUUGCGAGUACGGUUGCAAAACUGAAACCAAAAAAA
rnacentral:rRNA from 1 species